UACAGAGGUCCCAAGCGUUGUUCGGAUUCAUUGGGCGUAAAGGGUGCGUAGGUGGCGUCGUAAGUCGGGUGUGAAAUCUCGGGGCUUAACUCCGAAACUGCAUUCGAUACUGCGCGGCUAGAGUGCUGGAGGGGAGACUGGAAUUUACGGUGUAGCAGUGAAAUGCGUAGAUAUCGUAAGGAAGACCAGUGGCGAAGGCGAGUCUCUGGACAGCAACUGACGCUGAGGCACGAAGGCCAGGGGAGCAAACGGG
rnacentral:rRNA from 1 species